AGUGAACGCUGGCGGUAGGCCUAACACAUGCAAGUCGAACGGCAGCACAGUAAGAGCUUGCUCUUACGGGUGGCGAGUGGCGGACGGGUGAGGAAUACAUCGGAAUCUACUUUUUCGUGGGGGAUAACGUAGGGAAACUUACGCUAAUACCGCAUACGACCUACGGGUGAAAGCAGGGGAUCUUCGGACCUUGCGCGAUUGAAUGAGCCGAUGUCGGAUUAGCUAGUUGGCGGGGUAAAGGCCCACCAAGGCGGCGAUCCGUAGCUGGUCUGAGAGGAUGAUCAGCCACACUGGAACUGAGACAGGGUCCAGACUCCUACGGGAGGCAGCAGUGGGGAAUAUUGGACAAUGGGCGCAAGCAUGAUCCAGCCAUCGCGCGCGGGUGAAGAAGGCCUUCGGGUUGUAAAGCCCUUUUGUUGGGAAAGAAAAGCAGCAGGUUAAUACCCCGCUGUUCUGACGGUACCCAAAGAAUAAGCACCGGCUAACUUCGUG
rnacentral:rRNA from 1 species